CCUGCUCCUAGAGGCAAUGCAGGUAUGGCUGCUGUGUUACAUGUGUGUCAGUAGGUGGGAGAGAAGAGACUAUGUCUACACUCCGUGUUCUGAUCUUUGAACAGCUGAACGAUCAGUGGUCGGUCUAA